UGGGGAAUUUUGGACAAUGGGCGAAAGCCUGAUCCAGCCAUGCCGCGUGAGUGAAGAAGGCCUUCGGGUUGUAAAGCUCUUUUAGUCGGAAAGAAAGAGUUGCAAUGAAUAAUUGUGAUUUAUGACGGUACCGACAGAAAAAGCACCGGCUAACUACGUGCCAGCAGCCGCGGUAAUACGUAGGGUGCGAGCGUUAAUCGGAAUUACUGGGCGUAAAGGGUGCGCAGGCGGUCUUUCAAGUCAGAUGUGAAAGCCCCGGGCUUAACCUGGGAAUUGCGUUUGAAACUACAAGACUAGAGUGCAGCAGAGGGGAGUGGAAUUCCAUGUGUAGCAGUGAAAUGCGUAGAGAUGUGGAAGAACACCGAUGGCGAAGGCAGCUCCCUGGGUUGACACUGACGCUCAUGCACGAAAGCGUGGGGAGCAAACA
rnacentral:rRNA from 1 species